ACAGGGAUCUGAGCGCUGGGCUCUUCUCCAGGACAAUAACACACACUAUCUAAACAUUCAAAUGAGUAUGACUAGUGUAUCACUGAUUUGAAUAAGGGAAAAUAUUGUGGUUUGGGAUAUGGAUCCAGCAUUGCUCUUGGAAUAAUCUGAAGGAGUUUUUGAAAUGGGACAGCCUUCGCUGUGCCGCAUUCUGCCUUUAAAUGCAGCCUUUGAAGGAUGCAGUCUCUGAAUUGGGAUGCAGCUCAUCAUCCUUGAAGCUUUAUCUUGACCGAUCAAUGAUUUGUUUAUGGCAGGAAUCCACAGUGAGUGCGUUUCACUUACAUUUGUGACUAAAAACAGAUAUGCAAACUGUAAAAUGUAUAGUAAAAAAAUGUAAGCUCAUAAAAAGUCUUAAAUAUCUAAACCUUUGCUCAAACAUAUAACCAAAUGAAAAAUCAUUUUUAAUCCCAGAACCCCCAAAUACACCCCAAAAGAUAGCAAUUAAACACAUUUUCCCCCUAAACUGUCAUUACUAUACUUGAUGUUUUACUUUUAAGUUUGAUUAUAGUUCUGAUUAUAGGCCUUGAUAGCCACCAGAGGGCACUCCACCACAGACUAUUGCCACACCAUCAAGGACUUCAUUACCCAUAUCCAACUGCCCGGACUAAUCAGCCAUGAUUGUUCACAGCUGUUUCUGAUUAUAUCGUUACCCCUGCCUAUAAAAGCCAGCUAUCAGUCACUCUUCACUAGGUCUUGCAUGUCUGUAAUUGCUGCAUUUCUAAGCGCUCUGUCACCUAAUUCUCUCAUGUUUUGGUUUCGUAUCUUUGUUUGACUCUGCCCUGUUCCGUGUUACUGUUUGGGCUGAUUUGCUUAUGUUUCUACCUUUUGCCUGAAUUCUGGACUAUGGUUGUGGAUUACCCUAUUAAUAAAUAUAGUGUGUUUGGAUCCUCAACCUUUGAGUCUCGGAGCAGAUUCAUUACAGAAGACCUAGCCUUACUAUGGAUCCAGCAGUACGCCUUGUCCACCUUCGUCAAGGGACUCGCUCGCUCAAGGACCACAUCCAGGACUUUCUAGUUUUGCCUGACGAGCUGUGUUGGUCUCUAGUUCUGCCAGAUCGACUCUGCCAUAACUGACAUCAGCUCCACCUGCUCCACCUUGGUGGUCCUCAGCAAAGCCUCAGUGGACUUUAGCACCGUCUGCUCCACCGUGGGGGUCUUCAGCCCUUCCUGCUCAACCUGCACCGCCCUGGCCACCUGCUCCACCUGCACCACCCUGGCCAUUUACUCUGCCAGAUCCGCCUUGGCCUCCUGCACUACCUCCGCCUCCUGCACUACCGUCGCCUCCAGUCUUUCCUCCUCUCCACGAUCACCAGCUGGAGUGCCCUUGAUAGCCACCAGAGGGCACUCCACCCCAGACUAUUGCCACACCAUCAAAGAUUACUCAUAACCCACUGCCCGGUCUAAUCAGCCAUGAUUAUUCACAGCUGUUUCUGAUUAUAUCAUUUCCCCUGCCUAUAAAAGCUAGCUAUCAAUCACUCUUCGCUAGGUCUUGCAUGUCUAUAAUUGCUGUAUUACUGUUACCUGAUUCAUUCAUGCCCUUGGUUUUUGUAUCUUUGUUUGCCUCUGCCCUGUUCCUUGUUACUGUCUUGACCUUUUGCCUGACUUCUGGACUAUGAUUGUGGAUUACCCCAUUAAUGAAUAUUGCGAUUGGAUCCUCAACCUUGUAGCAGUUUCACUACAGCCACGAUGUCACAAUGUAAUGCAUCUUAAUCAUAAUGGAUCUUAAAAUAGGUUUCAUUUCCUUUAUGCAAAAUAUCACUUUUUUUUUUUUUUUUUUCUUCAGGUUGUGGGGUGAAAUAUGACCUGGACUUGUUCUUGACGGGUGUGAUGCGGUAUAAAACUUCACACACACAAGCACAGUCAUUUCCAUAGGGAAGGACUGUGGUCUGAGAACCGCGUACUGAACUGCUACAACAAACCACAUUCAGAUCAACCUGCAAUCAAUGACACGCUACCGAUCUAAACACACUGUACAAUACUGUACACACACACACAGAGGAAGUGUAAAAUGUGUGAGCCAAUAAAACAAUUCAGAUUUUAUUUCCUAGUACAUUUGUUAACUUUGUAUGAUUCUAUUCAUUCAUUUCCCGGAGUCAGCACACACUCACUUCUCAUUGGCAACGCAGUUAACUCAAAGCUUGAAAGAGUCUCUACAUGAGUUUUCAUUUAUAUAAGCAAAUAAUGCUGAAUUUGUUUUACCAAGAAACAGUUAUGACAGGGGAGGGUGAAAUAAAAGGAAACGAGGAAAGGACAGAGAGCCUGUGGAUAUAAUGGCUUAUGUGCCAGUACUUCCUUACAAAAUUAGGCGUGUGUGAGUGUUUAAGAGUGUGUGUAAGUGUUUGUGUUCUUGUAUACAUGGUUUAUGAGGACACAAAUGUGUAUAAUGACAUGGGUAUUACAACGUAAACAUGGUUUAUGAGGACACUUCCUGUGUGUGUGUGUGUGUGUGUGUUUUCCCUGCAGGGUGUGAAGCCAAGACUCAUCAUCAUCAGGAGCAGCUGUAAUGUGAUCUGUAUGAGUGUGUUUAUGAGGAAGGAAGUGCCAUGGUGGAGGUCAGUCACUGAACAAUGCGGCUCUAACGCUGGCAGAGAGGAAUCGGAACCAGGAUGACCAGUCCCUCAUCUCCAUCUCCUGCCUGAUUCACUCACACAAUUACAAACAGCAUCACGCAGACAAUAAAGCCAUAACACAUCGCUCUUCAGAUGUCAUAAACACAUGCUGUCUGGACAAACAGCCAGAGUUCAUCAAUGUCAAACAGUUGGACAACAAUUUAGGCUACACCUACAAUUAUCCAGAUACGUUUAAAAAUGGUGUUUUCAUCUCAAAAUGAAACACUAGCAUAUUCCAAAUGUUUCUUAUUCACACUGAAACAUCAGAAAACAUUUAAAUCAUCUUACUGCACAGGCGAAAAACAAUAAAAGCUCACUGAGAUGAUACAGAGAGACCACACAUAAUAAAGUUCAUAAAGAUAAUUUCAUUAGCAAAACAUCUCACCACUUACUAGUGCGUUCAGGUCGCACUCAGUCGCCUUUUAAUGUAAAACUGGACAAGAACUCCUGCAUUUAGAGCGAUGAUUGGAUUCUAACUUAAACACCUCUGAUUGGCUAUUGCAUUCCAGAAUUUAACAGAUAUGUCUGUGAUUGGCUACAUUGCUCAACGCUGCAAAAACAAGUAUGGUCUAAAAUGCAACUGCCCUCAUGUUUUGCUGCAUAAGGACAGCAUAAAUGCAUACAUUUUCUGUCAUCUUUGCAGGAAUGUAAUAUGAAGAUUGUACAAAGUAACAUUUAUCCUUAGCAACACUGAAAGUGAACAGCACAUAGCAGCUAUCAGGACUCCACGCUUAAAUUUCUUUUUAAGAGCACCUUCUGAUCAAUGACUGAAAUUAACCUUCCCAUUACAGGGCGAUAUUUGACUACUUAAAUUGAUAUCCACUCUUAUAAGUACUGUGAAUUUGUAUACAUCUUUUGUCAAAUACUGUUUUUCACCUACUUGCCGAUAUAUAUAGGGAAGUAUGCGAUUUCAGAUGCAGCCGCUGUUUUUAUGAAUUGGUCAUUGAAUCAUUCCCUCACCCAAUUCGUUCAAAAAGCCGAUUCAUUCAUCAUUGAAACACCGCUGUGUGUUUGCUCAGAGAUGCGCAGCGGCUCAGCUGUGACUUUGUUUGGAAUUAUUUUUUUUAAUGAAAUCAGACAAUGUUGUACUUGUGCCUAAAAUAUAAGUCAUUAAAAAUAAGUAAUUUCUUAACUAUAUCAUACAUUAUACAAAAAAAAAAAAACAAGAA